UACGUAGGGUGCAAGCGUUGUCCGGAAUCAUUGGGCGUAAAGCGCGCGUAGGUGGCUUCGUAAGUCCGUUGUGAAAGUCAAAGGCUCAACCUUUGAAUGCCGAUGGAUACUGCGAAGCUAGAGUACGGAAGAGGCGAGUGGAAUUCCUGGUGUAGCGGUGAAUGCGCAGAUAUCAGGAGGAACACCAAUAGCGAAGGCAGCUCGCUGGGACGGUUACUGACA
rnacentral:rRNA from 1 species